rnacentral:rRNA from 1 species
CCCUUAGAUGUUCUGGGCCGCACGCACGCUACACUGAUGCAUUCAACGAGUCUAAAACCUGCUCUGAUAGGGGUGGGUAAUCUUUUGAAUGCGCAUCGUGAUUGGGAUAGAUGAUUGCAAUUUUUCAUCUUCAACGAGGAAUGCCUAGUAAACGCAAGUCAUCAGCUUGCAUUGAUUACGUCCCUGCCCUUUGUACACACCGCCCGUCGCUCCUACCGAUUGAAUGAUCCGAUGAAUAUCAUGGAUUGAGGAUGCAAGUAGGUUCGCCUAUCUUCAUCUUCGAGAAGUGAAGUAAAUCUUAUCAUUUAGAGGAAGGAGAAGUCGUAACA